rnacentral:rRNA from 1 species
GCUCCAAUAGCGUAUAUUAAAGUUGUUGCAGUUAAAAAGCUCGUAGUUGGAUUUGUGGUUCGUCCGCCGGCUGGGUCAUUGACUUUUGCUGUGCUGGUCGUCCAUCCUUGGGUGGAAUCUGUGUGGCAUUAGGUUGUCGUGCAGGGGAUGCCAUCGUUUACUGUGAAAAAAUUAGAGUGUUCAAAGCAGGCUUAUGCCGU